AUGAUGCUAAUGAGGAUGACUGGAUGUCACACCCAUGAUGCUAUUAGGUCCUCAUAAUAGCAUAGUGAGGUGGACAGCUAGUACCUGACCCAUCUCACAGAUGAACAUACUAAUGCCUAACAAAGCAGAACGACUCACGCUGGGUCCCAGAGCUGGCCAGUGGAAGCACUGAGACCUCCACAUACUGAAGGCAUGGACUAUUGACCGCUGUUGGAACCCAAGACCUUCACUUGGUUGGUGUGAGCACUCCAGGAGGCAGGCACCCUCCCUCAGCCCUCAAGCAAGCAAAAAUGGGUUUAAAAAAAGAAGGAGAAGAAGCAGCAGCAGCAGCCGCCACAGAGCUUGUGACAGCUACAGCCUAAGGGCAACAGGCAGGGGAGACCAAGGACCAGAAAGAGCAGAGGCUUUUUCAAAGAAAGAGAUCCCUCUCCCAGCACCCAGCGAUGGCGGCAAACCCCACCCACAGUGCCUGCUAAGAACAAGUCCCACGUGAGAACAACAUGGCCCCCCGAGAUGCCCACAGGGACCCCGAGAUGCC
rnacentral:lncRNA from 10 species